rnacentral:lncRNA from 1 species
UAAGUCUUAUAUAAAAAAUACAUUUAAAUAUAUCGUAUUUUGUUAUAACUAACGUUAACGUGUGCUAGCUGCUAUGGUCAGUGCCAAAGCGAGAUUAACAACAUUGUUUGAAUCACUAUAUAAACAACUUCGAGCAAACACAAAUGACCAACAAUCACUAAUAGAGUGCACGCAAACAAUUUCCACCAAAAAACACAACAGCAACAUACACAGAGAUAAGGGUUUUGAGGGUAUUGGUUCUUUAAUUUUUGGGAAUUCUUUUGAUGUUUGGAGUUCGGUAGAGUGAGAAGAACUUUUAGGUUGUUUAGUUGGUGGUUUGGGAUGCAUUUAGUUAGUGACAGAAACAAGCUUUGGGUUUAGAUUCGCAAAUUUUGGUGAGCAUUUUGAAAUAUCCAACUUGAAAACUAGGUUGAGGGGGUAAAAAAGAAAGAAUUUGGUGGUUUUCAACACUUUUACGGUAACCAGUGACAGCGGUCUCCGACGACGAACGACGAUAGCAUGAUGAUGCAAUGUCAAACUCUGGAGAGGAAGAAUUUUCUGGUGAUGUAUUCUUUAGCUAGAGAGAAGUAAGGGUGAUAUGUAUCAGAUCGGUUUGGGUUUUCAAUUUUCUUAUCCGAUCCGACCUAUUCGGGUUUUUUAUUUUCUGAUCCAUAUUUGAUCAGAAAUAUCCAAAUGAAACCGAUUUGUAUAAAUUUGGUUUAGAUCGGAUAAAUUAUUUAGAUUUUUUACUUUAAACUAUUUUACCCAAACUAUCGACAUUGGCAUCCUUUUCAGUUAAGAUAACCCUAUUCUUGGAAUUGGUGUAGAUAAAUAUUCCAGAAACCGUGACUCUGUGAUGCGUAAGAUGAGACUUGAGAGGCCGAAGGGACAAGACAAUUUGAAGUUUAAACUAAAAAAAUACAGCUUUGAGAGCAAAUGUUGAGCAACGCUAGAUUUGAACACUAGUAAUAGGGUUAAAAAGGUGGUAAAUUGUGAGAGGUAGAGAACGGCAUGAAGAGAGACUGAGAGAGUAAGAGAGGACGAGUAGUGUUAAUUUUAAGAUUUUACAGUCAAAUGUGGUGAAACGUCGACAAAUUAAAAAGUAAAAAUGUCAAAAAUGAAUUAUUGUUAUUCUUUUAAUUUUGAAAAGAUAACAAGUAGGCAUUGGAUAAUGAAGUAUAAGAGGGUUGGAUAGUGGGCUUAAAGCAUUUAAAAUUAAAUGGUAUAUUUGGGUUUGGACUUCAUAUAUCAAAUAAUUUAAAACUUAAUUUUUUGAG